UGCCCAGCAACUCCUAUCCCUACCUCGUCGCGGUACCGGCCGGAAACUAUGAGCAACCUUAGGGAAGAUCGGGUAACCAACCUGGUGGGAACUUUGGUCGUAGGCUAACAGGGAAGG
rnacentral:ribozyme from 1 species